AUCAGUUGCCCCAAUACGAUAAUAAUGUCCGAAACUCAGAGUUACACCCUAAGUUAAAGACCAAACUCUUCGUCCCUUUCUCUCGUCUUCCUCAUCAAUCGAAAACCCUAAUUCGUCAUUUCCGGCCGGCGACGAGGUCAAACCACCAUCAAAAUUCAACCAGCCCAGCAUCGCCCAUCCUCGAUUCCUAAUCUAUCUUUAUUUCUCAUAAAAUCCUCACCAAGUUGGACCAGUUUCGAAUCAGAAGUUGAAGGGCAGAAAUAUCGCAGAGUGUUCAAGCCUUUAGGAAAUGAUUUGACCUGAGAUCAAUAUUGUUCGUUUGUUUCCAAGGAGAGCAUGCGACCAAUAUCAAUCUCGGGUCAAAUCGGGGAUGCCGGAGUUUAUUCGAAGCCAAUCAUUCAUUUUCUCUCCUAGGUAUUUCUCGUCGAUUCUUUCAUUCUCCUCAUUUUCUGUUUGGUUUACACUUUUUCUCCAUCCUUUAGCUCAUCAUUGUCCUUCCUUGCCUUAUCAUGUUUUUAAUUGCUUGUUUGUCAUUAUUUUCUCGGAAAAGUGUCAUUAAGAUCGAAUCGAUUAACCUAGCAAUUAGCUUCGAUGUUGAAUUAUCUCUUUAUGCCCUUAUUGAUUCCAGUUCCAGAUUUUCUUUAAGUGUUUUGUGUUGAUUUGAGCUUUGUUUGGAUUAUACUGUAUUUGUCUUUUUUAGCAUAAGGAUGUCUAGUUGAGUUGGGUCACCAGACUGGUGGGUUAUGUAUGAUUGCUCGUUAGGGUCUUUGUGUAAAAGUUUUUGGGCCAGGUCGUCCCAUAGUAGUAUUAAGCCCACUUAGGGAUUCGAAUCAGGGUCCAGGGCCCAAUUAGCUUAACCAGCAGCCCUGUAGGUUCAAGGUAAAUAGUAGUAAUUAAACAGGGGCACAAAGGCUGUCUAGGGGUGUUUUGGUCAUUGGGAAAGGGAAUAUUUUCUGUUAUGGGAAAACUUCUACAGGAUAAGGCUGGAAUGACAUGUGAGCUACAUAUAUGUUGAGGGAAAGGAUAAGAGGGUAAAAAGGCUAAGGUGAAUAAGGGUGUAAAAAGGGAAAUGUACUUAAGGAAUCCUAGGUGGGAAACUUCUAGGUUGGGGUUUAAGCUGUAAUUCUCAGCUUUUGGGAGUAUUUACUUGAGCAACAAGUUUAAAUUUAAGGGACUAGGGGCUGAAAUAAGGAGGGGCUGUUAGAAUGUGAGGGCUGACCUUUUCUCUUGCCUAUAUAAGGCAUAUACCAGGCCUCAAAAAGAGGACCUUGGUCGAGAAUUUCCAUCUCAAAAACCACAAAACAUCUGACUCUUAUCCCACUUUCAACUACAUUUUAGUUUUCGUUAGCACUUAAAUACAGAAAAAUAAAAAAAAGUAGAUAUAAAAACCAGAAAACAACAAAAUGUUACUACUGUUUCAUUGAUUUGGCUGCUGAUUCUUGGAGUCGUUGGAUUUUGACUGUUCUAGAGCCUUGUUUGAGUUUGUGUGGGGUUAUUCUUGGUGUUGGAGGGCUGUUUUGGUUGUCUUGAGCUUUCAAGUGAAUCCCUUUUUGAUUCUGGCUGGUUUUUUUUGAAUUGUCACUCCAAUAUCUGGGUUGGAUUGCUGUUGACAUUUUGCUCUAUUGACUAUUCAAGCUGCUGCUGAUUCUUUGCUUGUUGAAUUCCAUUUCCAGGUACCAUUUUGAACCCUCUGUCAUGUAGUUGUGAGGUGGAUGAUGAAAUAAAGAAGUCUCAUGGAUUUAUGUGAUUAUGAAUGCCUCCUGUUGAAUGAUUCAUAGUUGUAUUAAGGUGUUAGUUUCACUCGAUCUUAUGUGAGUUCUAUCGUAGUUGUAAGGUUGAAUAAUACAUUGUUAGCUUACUGGGAAUUCGUUUAGAUUGGAAUUUGUAUAACUGGACUUGAAACUGUGUUGGUACUAUUUAAAAAUUGUUUAAGUUCGAUUGCAUUUGGUUUGGGCUUUGUAUUUGAAUUAAACGGGACAAUAUGGUGUUAACAUAAGGACUAUGUAGAUUCUUAAAAUUAGAACAUUGGGAUUUACAUUUUAGUUUAGUUGGUUGGAAUCAGUGAUCAUAUUAUUUCUGUGCAAUUUCUUCUUUUAAGUUAGAUAAAUAACUGAAAUAGGGUUUGAAAUUGCAAUAGUUCAUUUUGAAAAGUUGAUAAUUGCUUGAAUGUGUCACGAAGUAAUUGAAAUAGGCAUCUGUUGCUCAUCUUUUGAUAAUCAGUAAGAUCUAAAAUUGGAAUAGCAUGAAAUAUUUUUAAUUGUGUGAUAAUUAAUUGGUUAAUUUUGAUUACCGUUUCACUCAUUGAAUCCGAGCCUUCACUGGGGUUCGAUUUCCCAAAUCAGCCCCAUCGGUUGGCUGUGUUGUGCCACAGCCCAACUACGGUUGCCUGCAGACUCGUUUGGUUGAAGUUGUGCCACAGCCCAAUUUUGGUCAAUCAUGCAGGGAUUCGAUAUCCCAUCUUUUGUUGCCUUCCGUCAAGCUCAAAUUGGGCCAGCCCUUCGGGCCCAGUUCAAAUGUUCUUUCAAUUGGUUUAAUUGGUAUUUGGAAUUCGGGUUCUUGAGUUAGGAAGUGGCUUUUAAGCUAAAAGGUUUGUCCUUUUGUUUGGACCCAGACCUGAACCCGAGGCCUGGAUUUUGAAUAGAAUC
rnacentral:lncRNA from 1 species